rnacentral:tRNA from 2 species
AUUUAAGUAGUUUAAUGAAAAUUUGAAUUUGUGGCAUUCAAGAUGUAUAAUGUACCUUAAAUU